GACGAACGCUGGCGGCGUGCCUAAUACAUGCAAGUCGAGCGGACUUUCAAGAAGCUUGCUUUUUGAAAGUUAGCGGCGGACGGGUGAGUAACACGUGGGCAACCUGCCUGCAAGACGGGGAUAACUCCGGGAAACCGGGGCUAAUACCGGAUAAUAUCUUCCUUCGCAUGAAGGAAGGUUGAAAGGCGGCGCAAGCUGCCGCUUGCAGAUGGGCCCGCGGCGCAUUAGCUAGUUGGUGAGGUAACGGCUCACCAAGGCGACGAUGCGUAGCCGACCUGAGAGGGUGGGCGGCCACACUGGGACUGGGACACGGCCCAGACUCCUACGGGAGGCAGCAGUAGGGAAUCUUCCGCAAUGGACGAAAGUCUGACGGAGCAACGCCGCGUGAGCGAAGAAGGUCUUCGGAUCGUAAAGCUCUGUUGUCAGGGAAGAACAAGUACCGUUCGAACAGGGCGGUACCUUGACGGUACCUGACCAGAAAGCCACGGCUAACUACGUG
rnacentral:rRNA from 1 species